rnacentral:rRNA from 1 species
UGCAGUCGAACGGUAACAGGCCGCAAGGUGCUGACGAGUGGCGAACGGGUGAGUAAUGCAUCGGAACGUGCCCAGUCGUGGGGGAUAACGCAGCGAAAGCUGUGCUAAUACCGCAUACGAUCUAUGGAUGAAAGCGGGGGACCGUAAGGCCUCGCGCGAUUGGAGCGGCCGAUGUCAGAUUAGGUAGUUGGUGGGGUAAAGGCCCACCAAGCCAACGAUCUGUAGCUGGUCUGAGAGGACGACCAGCCACACUGGAACUGAGACACGGUCCAGACUCCUACGGGAGGCAGCAGUGGGGAAUUUUGGACAAUGGGCGCAAGCCUGAUCCAGCAAUGCCGCGUGCAGGAAGAAGGCCUUCGGGUUGUAAACUGCUUUUGUACGGAACGAAACGGUCUGGGCUAAUACCCUGGGCUAAUGACGGUACCGUAAGAAUAAGCACCGGCUAACUACGUGCCAGCAGCCGCGGUAAUACGUAGGGUGCGAGCGUUAAUCGGAAUUACUGGGCGUAAAGCGUGCGCAGGCGGUUUUGUAAGACAGUCGUGAAAUCCCCGGGCUC